UCCUGACUGGCCCAAUUUGUAGAGCAUGAGACUCUUGAUCUUAGGGUUGUAGGUUUGAGCCCCAUGUUGGGUA
rnacentral:tRNA from 1 species